UACGAAGGGUGCAAGCGUUACUCGGAAUUACUGGGCGUAAAGCGUGCGUAGGCGGUUCGUUAAGUCCGUUGUGAAAGCCCUGGGCUCAACCUGGGAAUGGCAGUGGAUACUGGCGAGCCAGAGUGUGAUAGAGGAUGGUGGAAUUCCCGGUGUAGCGGUGAAAUGCGUAGAGAUCGGGAGGAACACCAGUGGCGAGGGCGGCCAUCUGGAUCAACACUGACGCUGAGGCACGAAAGCGUGGGGAGCAAACAGG
rnacentral:rRNA from 1 species